rnacentral:rRNA from 1 species
CUAACCUACCUUUAUCUGGGGGAUAGCCUUUCGAAAGGAAGAUUAAUACCCCAUAAUAUAAUGAAUGGCAUCAUUUAUUAUUGAAAACUCCGGUGGAUAGAGAUGGGCACGCGCAAGAUUAGAUAGUUGGUGAGGUAACGGCUCACCAAGUCAAUGAUCUUUAGGGGGCCUGAGAGGGUGAUCCCCACACUGGUACUGAGACACGGACCAGACUCCUACGGGAGGCAGCAGUGAGGAAUAUUGGACAAUGGGUGAGAGCCUGAUCCAGCCAUCCCGCGUGAAGGACGACUGCCCUAUGGGUUGUAAACUUCUUUUGUACAGGGAUAAACCAUUCUACGUGUAGAAUGCUGAAGGUACUGUACGAAUAAGCACCGGCUAACUCCGUG